GGAGGAGGAGAAGGGAGCGGGGCGGGAGAGAUUAGUUUGGGAAGUAGCACGGAUUGCUCAUCCGAUCCGUGCAGCCGCAGCCAGUGUGUCAAGUUACAGAGGCGCCGGAAUCGGCCCCAGCGCUCCUCGGCAGCGGCCACGACCCACCUCUGCCCGUGGGGCCCUCCACGUGCACCCCUUCGCCCCGGGACUGAAACUGGCUCGCCCGGGAGACGGGAGGCACCAAGAAGGACAGACGGCGCAGAACCAACUCCAGGACUCUGCAGAUACUUGAAGGGAAAGACGGGGCGGAAAGGAGAGCCGGCCAGAUUCCCCUAACUUUCCUGGACUUGGAACGUUCUUCGAAGUAACUUCUUCUUCUUACCUGGGUGUACCCCAAUUACUGCUGGUUGUGUUUUUUCGGCUUUCCCCCUCCAGCUGCUAUUUUUUCCAUCCUCUUUGCCGGGAGCCAAGGAUAGGGACAUUUUCCAGCGACACAAGCCCUUUCCCCCUGCCCCGCAGCUUGGAUCGCGCCUUUGGACAGCGGCUCUCGCCUUUAUUUAUUCUAUUUAUUUAUUUAUUGGUUCUCAAUACGCGAGGGGAUGGUAGCAGAGCGCUCCCGCAAAGCGACAGCCGCCGGUGCCCGCGGCCCUGGGGAGCUGGACACGCCCGGGACGGUGGCGCUGGCGGUGGCGCCGGCGGAGCGCUGCGCGCGGCUGCCGAGCCCGGGGUCGUGCGGGCUACUGGCGCUGGCCCUCUGCUCGCUGGCGCUCAGCCUGCUCGCCCACUUUCGGACAGCCGAGCUGCAGGCCCGGGUGCAGCGCCUGGAAGCAGACCGUGGGGAGCAGCAAAUGGAGCCGGCUAUUUUGGGACGAGUCAACCAACUGCUGGAUGAGAAAUGGAAGCUCCACUCACGGAGGCGCCGGGAGACCCUGAAGACGUCUCCAGGGUGUCACUGCCCGCCAGGACCUCCUGGUCCUGCUGGAAGACCUGGCCUCCCGGGGGACAAAGGUGCCAUUGGGAUGCCUGGACGUGUGGGAGGAAAGGGCCAACCAGGCGAGAAGGGGGCCCCCGGAGAUGCUGGGAUGUCCAUCGUCGGUCCCCGCGGCCCCCCGGGUCAGCCAGGCACUCGAGGUUUUCCUGGAUUUCCGGGUCCCAUUGGGCUUGACGGCAAACCGGGCCGCCCCGGACCAAAAGGGGAGACGGGACCUCCAGGACAAAAAGGAGAAAAGGGUCAGUGUGGAGAGCACCCACACCGGCUGCUGCCUCUCCUCAAUUCAGUGCGGCUGGCUGCACCCCCAGUCAUUAAAAGGCGGACCUUCCAGGGUGAACAGGGCCAGGCCGGCAUCCAAGGCCCACCAGGCCCUCCUGGACCAAGUGGACCUCUGGGGCCCCCAGGACUGCCAGGGCCCAUGGGGCCACCCGGCUUACCUGGGCCUCCUGGACCAAAGGGAGACCCGGGGAUCCAGGGCUACCACGGCCGGAAGGGAGAACGGGGCAUGCCAGGGAUGCCGGGCAAACACGGAGCAAAGGGGGCUCCUGGAAUUGCUGUGGCUGGGAUGAAGGGUGAGCCUGGGAUCCCAGGAGCCAAGGGUGAGAAGGGGGCUGCGGGCCCCCCUGGGCUACUCGGCCUCCUAGGGCAGAAGGGAGAAAAAGGUGAUGCCGGCAACUCCAUUGGAGGGGGCAGAGGGGAGCCUGGGCCCCCAGGGCUCCCUGGGCCCCCAGGGCCAAAGGGGGAAGCUGGAGCUGAUGGCCGGGCGGGCGCCCCAGGACGGCAAGGAGACAAGGGGGAGCCUGGAGCAGCUGGAGAACAGGGACCUGCUGGCCCCAAGGGCUCCAAGGGCGAACCCGGGAAAGGAGAGAUGGUGGACUACAAUGGAAACAUCAACGAGGCUCUCCAGGAGAUCCGGACACUGGCCUUGAUGGGGCCCCCUGGUCUUCCUGGGCAGAUUGGCCCACCCGGAGCUCCAGGGAUCCCAGGCCAGAAGGGGGAGAUUGGACUGCCCGGCCCUCCUGGACACGAUGGGGAAAAGGGACCUCGAGGCAAACCAGGAGAUGUGGGCCCUCCUGGUCCCCAAGGCCCCCCAGGAAAGGCUGGGCCUGCAGGACUGAAGGGAGAAGAUGGCCUUCCGGGGAACCCAGGAGAGAAGGGGGAGAAAGGGGAGAUGGGGCAGCCAGGCCCACCGGGUCUAGACGGCCCAACUGGGGAGAAAGGAGAACCAGGUGACCAAGGGAGACAUGGAGCGACCGGAUUGCCUGGCCCAAUCGGGCUCCCAGGAUUCACAGGAGAGAAAGGAGAACCUGGGGAGAAGGGUGACCCAGGAGUGGAGGUUCCUGGGCCACCAGGGCCAGAGGGACCUCCCGGACCUCCGGGGCUCCAAGGCAUUCCUGGACCAAAGGGGGAAGCAGGGCUAGAUGGAGCAAAAGGAGAGAAGGGCAUCCAGGGAGAAAAAGGAGACCGAGGUCCUCUGGGAUUACCCGGAGCUUCAGGUUUGGACGGCAGGCCUGGGCCACCGGGUACUCCAGGACCAAUUGGAGUUCCAGGCCCAGCGGGACCAAAGGGAGAGAGGGGCAGCAAAGGCGACCCUGGGAUGACAGGACCAACGGGAGCAGCUGGGCUUCCUGGUUUACACGGACCACCCGGGGACAAAGGAAACCGGGGGGAGAGGGGGAAGAAAGGCUCUAGAGGGCCUAAGGGGGAUAAGGGAGACCAAGGAGCGCCUGGAUUAGAUGCCCCCUGUCCAUUGGGACACCGAGGUUUUAAAGGAGAGAAAGGGGAGCCGGGGUUACCAGGGCUGGACGGACUGGAUGCCCCGUGCCCACUGGUAUGGCAUCACCCUCCCUUUCCUGCAUGGCCAGUGUGGGCUUCCCCACGUGUGCGGCUUGUGCCUGUGCGCCUCUCCCGCUGCCCUGCACACUCCUGCUUGUCACUCUUCACUCAGUAGACACCAAGGGUCACCCUGCCUUAGCUGGUCCUCAGGGGGCUCCCGCCACGUUCCCCUCUUGCAUGCAGAGUCUGCCAGGAUGCUUUCUUGGCUUCCUCCUGCAGCUGCUUCAAAAGCCCAUCACCUUAAUGUGAGAGGCCCUCCCCACCCGAUGCCAACCUUAGCUGCAUCAGACCCUCCUUUCAGAACUGCUUCUAGACAAACCUGCCACCAGAAAGAAAGCCAGGGAAGUGGAUUCUCAGGACAAGUUAUGAGGAUUGUGACUUCUCUUCCUUCACACACUGCAGUUAGUUGGAAAACCGUUGGCAAAACAUUUCAAUGAGAUGCCUCAGUUGGCCCCAUGUCCCGCUCCACUCCAGCAUCGCACGAUUUAGCAGAGGAAAGAUGGGCACCUUAUGAACACGGGGAAGAAUGAGGAGUUCUAGAACCAAAGUAGAGGAGGGUGUACGCUGACUGUUCUUCCGGCAAAGAUCUGGGAUCACUGCCCCGGUGACACCCCCAGAACCAGGGGACGGUCCAAAAUCAGGAUCCUAGAUCCUGUAGGGUUCAUCCUUUAUGCUUAAAUCUCAGAAGACACUACAAGACCCUCCCUUGGUUUCCCUUUUUUUUUCAUCUUUAGGUGGUUCACAACCAAAAAGUCUGAAAGAACCUGGAAAGGUUAAGAAUGUAGUUAAGGAAGGGAAGGGAGAGACAGGGAGGGAGGGGCGACAUUUAGGACCCGCUCCCAAGCAUGUCCCACCUAAGUGGUGGCAUUUCUGGUCCCGCUGGGCCCAGUCCCUCUCCAAGCAGGGACACCUGAGGCUUCUACAGCAAUCCUUUGAACAUACUGCAGGGGAAGCAGAAGAUGGCACGUCACUCCAAGGCAAUUGGCUCAAAAACUUCCUGCUCUCCUAAAUUUCUGGAGGAGGUUUGGAGCUCAUGGAUCUAGUUUCAUACCAGUAAUUGUCAGAUGAGCAUUCCCAGCCUCACAUCCCCACCCCAGGGUAACAGAGGAAUUAUCUUUGUGUGACCCUGACAGGUGACCAUAGAGCCCCUUGAAGGGACUUUUUAGGACCACACAGGCAACACGAAGGACGGCAGAGCAAGCAGCGUCGCAAGCCUCCCGAUCCCACCGCGCUCCCCACCUUCCCACCCCCACCUUGAACCCCCAGCAUGCAGCACGCACCGCACAGGCGCCUUUCUCAGCCGUGGAAUCUCCCGCGCCCUCCGCAGCACCUCCGUUAACCAAGCAGCCAGGCGUCCCCUCUGCCAUGACCCUUCCCACGAUCUGAACACUUGAGUUCUGACAACUGCAGCCCUGGCCUCCCUGCUUCUCACCCACACACUGUCACUCCCCUCUGCCUGCCCAGCCCUCCUCUGUUCCCCCUGCCACCAUCCACGUGCCAAGGGGAAUGCCCCUGUGGUCCACGGAGGCUCCUCUCCCUUCCAGAGACCGUGUGAAGUGUCGCAUUGUGGCGGGCUGGGGAAAGGGACAGAGGUCUUCAUGGAACCCUGGGAUGCACCACCUCAUCCUGCAGACCCUCCCCGACCCAGAAGGGACAAUGAAAGUUAUCUUGAUUUGACCUUUAAUGCAAACUGGCAUUUUCUCCAAUAACAUUUGUGUGUUACUUUUGCUGUGAAAGUGUACAUGCCUUGCCUUUCUUGUUUCUCAUUGUUGCUGUUCGCCGUCUCCUGCGCUGUGUUACUGUGGAAGUGGGGCGGGGCUGGGGGGCUGUUGAUCGGGAAUUUCAGUACAAGGUAACUAGACUUCUGCGGCCCCCGUGCAGGGCCAGCUGUCUGCUGGAUGCCAGGUGAGUGGUUUUGGCACCUGUCAUGGGUGGAUGAGUAGGUCCAGGGCACAGGGUGCUCCCCUUCCGGGUUCGCGGGGGCUGACCACUUGCUGCGGUCCCCUGAAACCUCGUGUGCGUCUCUUUCUCUGCCCUGGAGCCUGGAGUUCUAGAAUCUGGGCUGCAAUUCUAAUAGACCCGAAAUGAGAACCAGAGCUUUGCCCUGGUUCAACCUCACCCUCCCCACCUGCCUCUAAGUGGUUUCUAGGUUCCCGCAGGGAGUGCCAGAGCAGCCAGGAUAGCAGGGCCCGAGGAGACUCGGGACGUCCUGAGGCUGCAGGUGCUCCGGAGGUGCACCAGCAAAGGGGACAAGCGGCACCCGGUGGAUUCCCAUUCCACCACGGCCUCUUCCCCCCAAGUCCCCAGCAAUGGCUGUGCCAGGAGCCCUGCCUCCUUGCUGAAGGCACCUCAGGCCCACAUUGCAAUGCCUGUGAAAUCACCCCUCCUCCUCCUUACUGACCACCAGAUGGGAAUUGCCUAGAUGUCCUCCCCCAGCUGCUAAGGAAGAGAGAAAAAAAUCACAGAAUGGGAGAAGUGGGGGCGGUCGUUUCAUAGAGCCGCACCUGCCCCAGGUUUUACGGAGGAGGAAACUGAGGCCCCCAAGUGCUGAGUGACGCCCACGGGCACCCCGCACUCAGUACAGCCCGAGGGGAGACCAGCAGGCCUCUGGUCUGUCCUCUCCACAGCAUUCAGGUGACCCCUGCUUGCUGAGCCCACAGGCUAGCGUCUUGGCCUUGCACUGUAACUACAUGUGAGCCUGGCCAGUGGGCAGACGGGCGGGCUAGCUUCCUGCCUCCUUUCGGCUCAGCCCUGGGGUAGAGAGACAGACUAUAUCGGGGGGCCGCACCCUGAUCAGCCGUCGCGAUGCUUGUGGCCCUUGUUCCCUCUGUCCUGCUGCUGGUGGGCCAUCCCACAGAGUCUGAGCCGUCUGCCUUCCUUCCUCACUGCAGGGUGAAGAUGGCUUGCCAGUCCAGGGCUGCUGGAAUAAGUGAUGCCUCUAACCUGGGAUUGGCCUGUGUGUGUGUUUGUAAAUAGAAUAUUUAUUUUUAUACAGUUUCCACUUUUUGAAAAUGCCCAAAGUAUGAUGCAUCUUACAGAUUAUUAAAAAAAAAAGGAAAGCCUGCAUAUUUUGUACAGAAAAUACCAACCUCCUCCCUUUUGUUUACAAGAUGUUUUGUAUACGUCUAAGGCUCUAAUACACUUUUCGUUAGUGAGUACGGCUGUACGUUUGCAUGAUAUUUGUGCACACUUAUUAAGUACUGAAGCUUAAUAAAUUAUUGUGUUCCAGUGCCAAA